rnacentral:rRNA from 1 species
CGGAUUACGGAGUUUGACUCCUUAACUGCUUCAUCAUUUUACAACCUUACGGCUUCUUCCUUUCCGCCGCAGUGCUGGAUCAGGGUUGCUGCCAUUGUCCAAAAUUCCCCACUGCUGCCUCCCGUAGG